UCUAAGUAUAAACGUUCUAAACGUGAAACCGCGAAUGGCUCAUUAAAACAGCUAUAAUUCACUUGAUCUUGACACAAUCCUACUUGGAUAACUGUGGUAAUUCUAGAGCUAAUACAUGCAUUAAAGCUCUGACCUCACGGAAAGAGUGCAUUUAUUAGAACAAAACCAAGCGGCUUCGGCUGUUUUCGGUUGACUCAUAGUAACUGAGCUGAUCGCAUGGUCUUGCACCGGCGACGUGUCUUUCAAGUAUCUGCCGUAUCAACUUUCGAUGGUAGUGUAUCUGACUACCAUGGUGAUCACGCGUAACGGAGAAUAAGGGUUCGACUCCGGAGAGUUCGCCUGAGAAAUCGCGAACACAUCUAAGGAAGGCAGCAGGCGCGAAAAUUACCCACUCUCAGCACGAGGAGGUAGUGACGAAAAAUAACGAGACCGUUCUCUUUCGAGGCCGGUCAUCGGAAUGGGUACAAUUUAAA
rnacentral:rRNA from 1 species